rnacentral:rRNA from 1 species
GAUGAACGCUAGCUACAGGCUUAACACAUGCAAGUCGAGGGGUAGCAGGGUAGCAAUACCGCUGACGACCGGCGCACGGGUGAGUAACACGUAUCCAACCUUCCCAUAACUCGGGGAUAGCCUUUCGAAAGAAAGAUUAAUACCCGAUAGUACUUUUUCAAGGCAUCUUGAGAAAGUUAAAGAUUUAUUGGUUAUGGAUGGGGAUGCGUUCCAUUAGAUAGUUGGUGAGGUAACGGCUCACCAAGUCUUCGAUGGAUAGGGGUUCUGAGAGGAAGGUCCCCCACAUUGGUACUGAGACACGGACCAAACUCCUACUGGAGGCAGCAGUGAGGAAUAUUGGUCAAUGGGCGAGAGCCUGAACCAGCCAAGUAGCGUGAAGGAUGAAGGUCCUAUGGAUUGUAAACUCCUUUUAUAGUAGAAUAAAGUGAUCCACGUGUGGAUUUUUGUAUGUAUACUAUGAAUAAGGAUCGGCUAACUCCGUGCCAGCAGCCGCAGUAA